rnacentral:tRNA from 1 species
GAGCCGAUAGUCUAGCCCGGUAUGACGUCGCCCUUACAAGGCGGAGGCCGGAGGUUCAAAUCCUCCUCGGCUCA